UCCUUCCGAUCCUGAGCUUCUUUUUUCCUGAAACGCAAGCGAGCUACGACGGUAACGAAGUAAUAAAAAGGACUCGUCAAUUCGAAAUUACCUGCGAGCUAUUUCGUCCUUGACCAUUGCCGAUCCGUUAGAUCCCACGCUAUUAUAGAUGCAUUUUACCUGACGAUGGAGUUCAUUUUGACUCCUAUGCCCAUCUCUGUGAGACAAUGUAUACAGUUUUCACAUGCAUCGCCAGCAGGAACUGGGAAUAUGACCUGAUCCGAUAGACAGGAAAAUAGAGAUGCAAUUCAAU